AAUCAACGCUGGCGGCGUGCCUAACACAUGCAAGUCGAACGAGAAGGUGACUUCGGUCACUGGAUAGUGGCGUCCGGGUGAGUAACACGUAGGUAAUCUACCUUCGGGUGGGGAAUAACGUCUCGAAAGAGACGCUAAUACCGCAUAAUGCAGCGGCACCUAAUGGUGAUUAGUUGUUAAAGCGGGGGAUCUUCGGACCUCGCGCCUGAAGAGGAGCCUGCGGCAGAUAGCUAGUUGGUGAGGUAAUGGCUCACCAAGGCUUCGAUCUGUAGCUGGUCUGAGAGGACGGCCAGCCACACUGGCACUGACACACGGGCCAGACUCCUACGGGAGGCAGCAGUGGGGAAUUUUGGGCAAUGGGCGAAAGCCUGACCCAGCAACGCCGCGUGAAGGAGGAAAUCCUUCGGGAUGUAAACUUCAUAAGUAAGGGAAGAAAGCUGCGGAUCGAAUAAGUCCGCAGUCCGACGGUACCUUACGUAAGCCACGGCUAACUACGU
rnacentral:rRNA from 1 species